CACACACUUAGCCCUGUUGUCCCAGUGAGAUGCUCUGUGGGCCAAUAAAGACCCAGAGCCCUGUCCCUGGACUCAGCCUGUUAGAGACCUGGGGAUAUAGCCACAUGCCUUCCAGCAGGCUGCCUCACAGGGCCCCGGGCAUGCCUGCUCAAACUUAAGCUCUGGUCUUUGGGUCUGAGCUUGUAGCAAACACUGGUCGUUUUGUAUGGGGUGGCCACUCCACACUGCAUACAAAUAGCCUCACUAGCUAAGGACAACAAAAACAUUCCCAAAGAGCCACAGACCCGCCUCUCCCUCUCCCUUUUGCCUCCCUGGGUUUGGCCUCUGAGGGCCCCCCUGGGUCUUGCAUUCCUUGGGUCCAUGUUCCUCUAUCCUCUGAGCACACCUUGCCCUGGGCAUCGGAGACAGCACAGAGAAUAAAACAGACCAGCUCACAAUGGGCGUUGAGGCUCAGAGCCUGCAUGCCGAACAGAACUUCCGGGCGCUACUGCUGACCAGCUGCACCACCUCAGGCAGAAAGCAGGAAGAUGCGGCCCCAGGAAAGGUCAGGUGCAUGGAGCCUGGAUCCCUAUGACCCUGUGUGGAGGGAAGCCAGCUACAGUGGCCCCUGUGUGAGCAGGAAAACAGACAGCAGGCGAGCCCUCUGAGGACAGUUGGAGGCUUGCUUGUUACAGCAUCACAUGGCUAACUGCUACACCCUUAAAGAGCCAUCCUAUCAGUGAGGAAAUACUUAAUUAGACCUUUAUGACAACCUCGUGGGGCAGCUGUUCCCCCAUUUACGCACUGGAAAACCGAGGCGCGGGGAGGUGAAGUUACUUGCCCAGUGCCACACAGAUGGUAGAUGGGGUCAGAACUGGCGUCUGACUUCCCACACCCAAUGUCCAGAUGACAUACUCACAGCAGGAGGUGUAAAAGAGGGAGUCGUGGCUAAGGAUGGAGAUGCUACAUCUUGCCUCUGGGUACGGAAGAGGGGACAGGAAGUCAACCCUGGGCCACCAGUAUAUUUCCUAUUCCUAAAGAUGCUCGGAAAGGAGAGACCAAAAGUCCACUAUUGGUAUCUUGUCCCCAAGCUGGGACAAGAGAUCCCUGGGGCUAUGCCCACUUGCAUAAGCAGAGGCCAUUGCCUUGAAUGACUUUUCCUGAUCCACAGGGAGCUCUCUUCUCUUCUCCUGAGAGAGGAGAAAGCAGCAGGACAGGAGGUGGAGCAGCGUUUAGUGCUUGCUGUGAGUGUGCGACUCUCCGGAGCCCGCUGCAUAUGCUGGACAUGGUGGCAGUGUGUGUCAGUGACCCCAGUUCUCCUGUGGUGAGAUGGGAGAUGGAGACAGGAGAACCCCAGGAGCCCUGGGGCCAGCUACCCCAGCGUAUGCAGGAUGAUGGGGUCUCAGAAUAGAUGGAAGGUGAUUUCCAACACCUGAGGCUAACCCUGAUCUCUACAUGCACUCCACGCACAGGUGCACCUGCAAUGGCGCAGGAACACGCCCACCGUCCUAAGUUAUGGGAAGGCUGAGGCUGCACAUCUCAGAGUGGCGCCCGGUACCCACCAUGGCCUUACCCCCUUCUCUCUCACCAGCCAAUCUCUCUCUCAGCCUCAGUCCUCACCAAGAAGCAGGUGUCGUUCAGUUUUGACGCUGAUCCUGGGUGAUUCAGGGCACAAAUCAAACCCCAACUAGGCCACGCAGAUGAACCCAGGACCGACUCAGAGCCACCCAUUCCCGAGGAGACCCCAGAGGGACACACAGUAGGGUUAAAUCCAUGACAAAGACACCAGGAAGCUGGGCAGGGCACCCACUAACUGGAAUCCUCCCAUGGAGCACCCCCACCCCUCCCACACAAUAGCCUCUCCCUCCUAGGCCUGAGGGAGGCUUCUCUGAGCUCCGUAACACUACGCCACUAAUAAGAUUAAAACGUAUCUCCUUCUCGCAGCAUCGAUUCAUAGCUCUGAUUUACCACUGCUUCUCGGCUGCUCCAAAACGGAUGUGAGGGCCGACACCUUAAUCUCUAUCCAGCAAAUAACUGCUAAUUAAUACCUUUCUGCUUCCCGUCGCCUGCCAGCUCAGAGGGACAUCAAUGCAUACAGCCACAUAGCCCACUGUGCCCUCACUGGGGCCUGCGGGGCCAGAGGCCAUCCUAGGACACAGUGGAACUGACCAGGAGAGGGUGGAGCGUUAGUGCUGAAGUUAACUCCCACCCAAUCAGACACACACAAUCAGCUAACAGGAAGUGGGGGAGGAGUCGAGUGACAGACAGACUCUAGGGGAACCCAGCUCCCCUAAAAACAUCACCCUGUCCUGCCUCAGAUUCCUUAUCUGCAAAGUAGAGAUGGUGCAGGACCCACCACGGAGUUCUCCAGAAAGCCAUCCAGAGUUGGUCUGGUGUGUGUUUGUCCCCGUCUCCUGCUCUGCUUUUUUUUUUUUUUUGACUCAGAAUGCCUUGUUUCUCGUGUCCAAAGCCAAAGGGGCACCAGGAAACUGCAGACGACAGAUCUCCAGUGGCGGGACAUCUGGAACUCAACACGGUGCGUGGUCCAGGAACCCUGCAAUCUUCAUCUGCUGCACAAAGAGGCAGAGGCAGGGAGGAUGGAGGGAGGACCAGAGAGGACCUUGCCAGCUCCUGAGCCAAGCAGCCAUUCCCUGCAGCUCUGGCUAUCCUGGAAGCCACUAACCCCGCCCACUCAGGCAGCCCCAGCCUCAGGAGCCUCCUCACAGGCUUCCAUGCCUCUUCCUCAUCCCACCUCUAUCUCCUCAGUCAGGUGACAGACUCCAGACCCCCACCCCCACCAUACACACCGCUCUGACAGACUCCAGACCCCCACCCCAACCACACACACCGCUCUGACAGACUCCAGACCCCCUCCCCCACCACACACACCGCUUCCCCUCCCAGCAAGCAGCGACCCACUUUUCAGCAGCAGAAGUGAACAAAGAGGUCUUUGUGAAGUGGCCAUCACGGCUGUCCCCACAGCUCUCCUUCCGCCCCUGCCUGGGACAGUAGGUGCCCCGUGACAAUUAGAGCUCUUCACCUGCUCUCUGGAGGCAGGCACCUGGCCUUUGGCUAUUUAUUAUACAGCUUGAAUUUCUGCGUGAUGAAAUACCAGCCAGGCUGUCUCAGGAGAUGAGCCAUGAGCACCAACUACAAAUGCCGUUGCCAGUCCCCUGCCUACUCCCAGCCUGGCCUUUGCGCCCCAGAACCUCUGUGCUACCCAGCAAAAUGCCAGGGCAGCCCCAAUGGACACCUUCCCAUUGGGUGAGGUGUGGGGGAGGGGGAAGGAAAGGAUGGUGCUGGCGAGAUAAUGGGAGUGCCCGUGACUAGUGAGAAACAGUUCCAUCAGAGGAACCUCUGCAGUGACAGAAACAGAAGGACAAGGGGACAGAACGGUGAAGCAACAAAUACCCAGCAGCUCAGCUGCCCCACUCCCCGGUGAAUCCUGUGACUUGUGAGGCUGGGCACCGGACUGCCUUCCACCCACUCCCAACUGCUGCCAAGUCUCCACCAGGCACUAGAAGACCCUGGAAAUCUUCUCACUGGACUCUUCAGAGACGAGAAACUGGAACGCGUUCCCCCGCGUUACUCUGGGUGGGCUUAGGAAAGAGUCCUUCCCAGACCUUGCGUUUUGGCGUACCUUAGUAACAGGGAGGACAAGUCAGGUCAGGAGCACAAGCCAGUCAGGAACACAAGUCAGUCAGGAGCACAAGCCAGUCAGGAACACAAGUCAGUCAGGAGCACAAGCCUACGGUUCGGCUUCUGAGAAGCUGAGGCAACAAGAAGUUCUGGGGGUGGUGAUACACACCUUCAAUCCCAGCACUUGGAAGGCAGAGGCAGGAGGAUCUCUGUGAGUUUGAGUCUAGCCUGGUCUACCUAACGAAUUCUGGGACAAUCAGGGUUACCGUAGAGAGACUCCAUCUAAAAAUCAACAGUGUUUUUUUUUAAGUGUUGUGGCUCAGAUCACCUUGCCUACUGCACACGAGGCCCCAAGUGCUGAACUAAGGAAAACAGCUGUGGAGGAGACGGCUUGUCUCUCCUCUGGCUCCAACACUCUUCGGUUCCAGCGGUUCAGAAAUUGGGAGGUUCUUUACAAUGCCGCCAUGUCUCUGCACUGUGUCACGUUGUCUGGGCUCCCGGGCAGGGGGUUGCACUACUCUCUGAGAGCCAGAGGUGGUGAUUUUAGCAGCCACGUCUCCUGUCCCUGUCCAAUACCAGACACCAAGGCUUCUUUGCCUCGCUUGGCAUGCCUGUCCCAGCAGCCUUACCUGACUUGUGCCUUUGGGGAAACCAAGGCUGGGAAAAAUGCCUUCAGCCUCAAAUGCAUGCAUGAGGCACAUGGUAGAGACAAGACCUGACUGGUCAGGUGCCUGCUGGAGACUAGAUGUUUCUCCACAGACAGUACCUGCUCCCAUCAGUCUUGGCUCUGGCCCAGGCAGUCCCGGAAGACCCCAGUCGGGACUGGGAGCCAUGGGAUAGUCCCUGAAGGGCAGUAUGUCUUCCUGGAGGCUACCUUAUCUCUGGAAGCCCCACAAUCAUCCAUCACCCAACAGAGGUUCCAGAAAGUUUCCCAGCUACAGGGCCAAACUCGCUUUGGCUCCCAGGCUCCAAGCACAGACCAGACCCUGGGCCUGGUUAGCAGCAACCUCUGCCUGCUGUCCAUCCACAGUCCAGUGCCAGCCUGGUCUCUGGCCACCCCUUCUAGGCUCAGUGAUACAUGUUUGUUCUUCUAUCUUCCUUGGACCCCUCUGCACUACUGGGCAUAUCCAACCUCUUGACAGUGAAAUACAUUAUAAUAAAACCACACACACACACAAGCCACACCCCCAGUCUCCUGCUCUUGCCUGUUAAAAGACAAAGAGGCUAAUACUGAGAUGGGUAGAGACAUACCCAGGUAUACUGUACCAGGCAGUAGGUGGCUCUGACCCCAGUUCAAGUGGGGACUGGAACUUAAGACCACUGGUUACUGGGCCAUAGGACCAAGAUGGAAGUGGGCCCAGCAGACCUAAGUGUCCUGCCCAAUGAUUUUUAGCUGGUUCUUCUGGAGACCUUGUUGUAGCACUGACUGUUUCUGGGACAUCAAUGUGCCUUCCACAGUCAGCUGCAAGUUAGUAACAGGAAACACUCAUGGAUGAGGAGGGACAGGCAGAGAGUGGCCAGGUAGAGCCAGUUACCUCGCUGCAGGGUGGCCUUGGGCUUGUCACAGAAGCUACGCAAGCCUCAUAGCCUAGUCUGCAAAGUGGGGAGACUGUCUUACAAUCUGUGGGUACACCUGUCUGGUACAAGGUCACCAUUCAAUAAUUGUCUUUCCCUCCCUUUCUCCUUCCCUCUUCAUCUCCAACAUCAGGCACCAGCCAAGGGCAUCACCCCUCUCCACGCCGCACCAGGGAGCACACUGAAGCCCUGUGCCCCUCCCACCAUCUUCUGCAGUUGACUGGUCUGCUCAGACACCAGCCAGAGUGACUGUGCCUGACAAUGCACAGAACUGGACAGCAGGCACAUUCUCACAGUCCUAGAGGUGGCGGACACAGCAGUGUCAGGAGACAAGCCAGGCCCAGUGUCUGAGUGCCAGGCUCAGGGGAGACAUCAUUCAUUCAUUCGAUGACCACUCUAAUGACCUACCAGUCUUCUGCAAGAGAGGCUGUUGUUCCAAGAGCAGAGGGUCCUUCCUGCCAGGAAGUUCUCUUGUCUAUCCAGACUAAAUCACACAUGCUGCAAACUUCGUCAUGUGCUUGCUGGCUCCUCUAAACCCGGCUUGUGUGUCUAAAGGUUAAAGGUGACUUAUUAAUAUGAAUAGCCCUGUACUGGGCAUCACUGUGUGUUAGGGGAAGAUGCAAAAAUGAGCAGAAACAAGCAAGGCUCCUGUCACACUCAGCAGAGAUGACAAUGUGGAUCUCAGAUGACACUCAGUGGGGCUCUGUCCUUCAGGGAAGGCGGAGCACAGGGAUGGGACCGGCCACCUCUAACCAGUGAACCACACAGCCCUCCCAGUGUUACCAACAGCAGAAUAAUCCUGUUUCACACACAGGGCCCAGUGCAGUUCUUUUCAGGAAGUUGACACCUCCUCCAGAGGGCUCCAGUUCCAGAGGGGCUGAUGAGGAGACUUGGGAGGCUCCCCCUCAAUACCCCUUGAGCUGGACUUGCUAGGAGGUGGCUAUGGCUGACACAGGAGCCCCCUACCAGAAGCCCCAGGCUGUCAAAUGUCUCUGCACUGUGACUGGGUCCAUCUCAGAUCCCUUCCUGAGGGGUAAGCCUCACCAACCCCAGGCCCUGGGAAAUGACAGAGGGCAGCUUCUGAGGGCCUCAUCGGCCAGGAGGGCAACCUAAGUAGUUCUCUAUCUUCUACAUUCUGCGGAGCGUUCAGGUUCUGUCUGAUGGUCCUGUCUUGGUCCUGAGGGCCACACCCAACUGUAGCUGAGGCCAGUUCUCCCCUAGAGACACCUGAGUGUCGUGGGGGCAGCUCUGGCUUGAGUCACGCAACCCAAAGGUCUUGUCUCACUGACACCUAGUUUGGAAAUGCGUCUAAGCCAAGCCCAGAAAGAUCUGUGUGCCUGGUUGGUGGGAGGCAGCAGGCAGACACGCCGGCACAGAUUCCUUCCCAGGCUAAGAUCAAGUCCGCACUACAGGGCCCUGCUCCUGCUGUCUCUCUGCUGCCUUGGGCUCCAUAGUGACUGCCUCUAGUUCCUCACUUUGCAUCCAAGAGCUCCUUAUGAGGAGUGUAGACCAGCCAGUAGGCCCCCCCCUCUUGCCCCUGAUCUCCUGGAAACACACAGUGGGGGGCCUUACCAUCCUGUUUGUCCCCUGAAACUUAUUCCUAAGAAUGGGCACCUCCUAGGGGUGACACCAUGGUCUUCA